GAAGAAGAACGCAGCGAAAUGCGAUAAGUAAUGUGAAUUGCAGAAUUCAGUGAAUCAUCGAAUCUUUGAACGCACAUUGCGCCCUCUGGUAUUCCGGGGGGCAUGCCUGUUCGAGCGUCAUUAUAACCACUCAAGCUUUCGCUUGGUAUUGGGGCUCGCGGUUCCGCGGCCCCUAAAAUCAGUGGCGGUGCCUGUCGGCUCUACGCGUAGUAAUACUCCUCGCGAUUGAGUCCGGUAGGUCUACUUGCCAGCAACCCCCAAUUUUUACAGGUUGACCUCGGAUCAGGUAGGGAUACCCGCUGAACUUAAGCAUAUCAAUAAGCGGAGGA
rnacentral:misc_RNA from 1 species